GGGUUGUGAGGUUAAGCGACUAAGCGUACACGGUGGAUGCCCUGGCAGUCAGAGGCGAUGAAGGACGUGCUAAUCUGCGAAAAGCGUCGGUAAGGUGAUAUGAACCGUUACAGCCGGCGAUGUCCGAAUGGGGAAACCCAGUGCAAUUCGUUGCACUAUCGUUAACUGAAUACAUAGGUUAACGAGGCGAACCGGGGGAACUGAAACAUCUAAGUACCCCGAGGAAAAGAAAUCAACCGAGAUUCCCCCAGUAGCGGCGAGCGAACGGGGAGCAGCCCAGAGUCUGAAUCAGCUUGUGUGUUAGUGGAACGGUCUGGAAAGUCCGACGGUACAGGGUGAUAGUCCCGUACACCAAAAUGCACAGGCUGUGAACUCGAAGAGUAGGGCGGGACACGUGGUAUCCUGUCUGAAUAUGGGGGGACCAUCCUCCAAGGCUAAAUACUCCUGACUGACCGAUAGUGAACCAGUACCGUGAGGGAAAGGCGAAAAGAACCCCGGCGAGGGGAGUGAAAAAGAACCUGAAACCGUGUACGUACAAGCAGUGGGAGCACCUUCGGGUGUGACUGCGUACCUUUUUGUAUAAUGGGUCAGCGACUUAUAUUCUGUAGCAAGGUUAACCGUAUAGGGGAGCCGCAGGGAAACCGAGUCUUAACUGGGCGUUAAGUUGCAGGGUAUAGACCCGAAACCCGGUGAUCUAGCCAUGGGCAGGUUGAAGGUUGGGUAACACUAACUGGAGGACCGAACCGACUAAUGUUGAAAAAUUAGCGGAUGACUUGUGGCUGGGGGUGAAAGGCCAAUCAAACCGGGAGAUAGCUGGUUCUCCCCGAAAGCUAUUUAGGUAGCGCCUCGUGAAUUCAUCUUCGGGGGUAGAGCACUGUUUCGGCUAGGGGGUCAUCCCGACUUACCAACCCGAUGCAAACUACGAAUACCGAAGAAUGUUAUCACGGGAGACACACGGCGGGUGCUAACGUCCGUCGUGAAGAGGGAAACAACCCAGACCGCCAGCUAAGGUCCCAAAGUCAUGGUUAAGUGGGAAACGAUGUGGGAAGGCACAGACAGCCAGGAUGUUGGCUUAGAAGCAGCCAUCAUUUAAAGAAAGCGUAAUAGCUCACUGGUCGAGUCGGCCUGCGCGGAAGAUGUAACGGGGCUAAACCAUGCACCGAAGCUGCGGCAGCGACACUAUGUGUUGUUGGGUAGGGGAGCGUUCUGUAAGCCUGCGAAGGUGUGCUGUGAGGCAUGCUGGAGGUAUCAGAAGUGCGAAUGCUGACAUAAGUAACGAUAAAGCGGGUGAAAAGCCCGCUCGCCGGAAGACCAAGGGUUCCUGUCCAACGUUAAUCGGGGCAGGGUGAGUCGACCCCUAAGGCGAGGCCGAAAGGCGUAGUCGAUGGGAAACAGGUUAAUAUUCCUGUACUUGGUGUUACUGCGAAGGGGGGACGGAGAAGGCUAUGUUAGCCGGGCGACGGUUGUCCCGGUUUAAGCAUGUAGGCUGGUUAUCCAGGCAAAUCCGGAUAAUCAAGGCUGAGGUGUGAUGACGAGGCACUACGGUGCUGAAGUAACAAAUGCCCUGCUUCCAGGAAAAGCCUCUAAGCAUCAGGUAACAUCAAAUCGUACCCCAAACCGACACAGGUGGUCAGGUAGAGAAUACCAAGGCGCUUGAGAGAACUCGGGUGAAGGAACUAGGCAAAAUGGUGCCGUAACUUCGGGAGAAGGCACGCUGGUGUGUAGGUGAAGUCCCUGCGGAUGGAGCUGAGACCAGUCGAAGAUACCAGCUGGCUGCAACUGUUUAUUAAAAACACAGCACUGUGCAAACACGAAAGUGGACGUAUACGGUGUGACGCCUGCCCGGUGCCGGAAGGUUAAUUGAUGGGGUUAUCCGUAAGGAGAAGCUCUUGAUCGAAGCCCCGGUAAACGGCGGCCGUAACUAUAACGGUCCUAAGGUAGCGAAAUUCCUUGUCGGGUAAGUUCCGACCUGCACGAAUGGCGUAAUGAUGGCCAGGCUGUCUCCACCCGAGACUCAGUGAAAUUGAACUCGCUGUGAAGAUGCAGUGUACCCGCGGCAAGACGGAAAGACCCCGUGAACCUUUACUAUAGCUUGACACUGAACAUUGAGCCUUGAUGUGUAGGAUAGGUGGGAGGCUUUGAAGCGUGGACGCCAGUCUGCGUGGAGCCAACCUUGAAAUACCACCCUUUAAUGUUUGAUGUUCUAACGUUGGCCCCUUACCGGGGUUGCGGACAGUGUCUGGUGGGUAGUUUGACUGGGGCGGUCUCCUCCCAAAGCGUAACGGAGGAGCACGAAGGUUAGCUAAUCCUGGUCGGACAUCAGGAGGUUAGUGCAAUGGCAUAAGCUAGCUUGACUGCGAGCGUGACGGCGCGAGCAGGUGCGAAAGCAGGUCAUAGUGAUCCGGUGGUUCUGAAUGGAAGGGCCAUCGCUCAACGGAUAAAAGGUACUCCGGGGAUAACAGGCUGAUACCGCCCAAGAGUUCAUAUCGACGGCGGUGUUUGGCACCUCGAUGUCGGCUCAUCACAUCCUGGGGCUGAAGUAGGUCCCAAGGGUAUGGCUGUUCGCCAUUUAAAGUGGUACGCGAGCUGGGUUUAGAACGUCGUGAGACAGUUCGGUCCCUAUCUGCCGUGGGCGCUGGAGAAUUGAGGGGGGGCUGCUCCUAGUACGAGAGGACCGGAGUGGACGCAUCACUGGUGUUCGGGUUGUCAUGCCAAUGGCACUGCCCGGUAGCUAAAUGCGGAAGAGAUAAGUGCUGAAAGCAUCUAAGCACGAAACUUGCCCCGAGAUGAGUUCUCCCUGAGACUUUAAGUCUCCUGAAGGAACGUUAAAGACGAUGACGUUGAUAGGCCGGGUGUGUAAGCGCAGCGAUGCGUUGAGCUAACCGGUACUAAUGAACCGUGAGGCUUAACCUUACAACGCCGAAG
rnacentral:rRNA from 1 species